rnacentral:piRNA from 1 species
UUGAUGUUCACGCCAGCCUCUGAGGGU